rnacentral:lncRNA from 1 species
UUCAAAAUAAAUCAUUAACAAUAUCUUUAGAUAUAUCUGAUAAGUUUUGUAGAGAGUAUUGUAACCAAGCUAUAAUUAUACAAUACUUCCAGUGCAUAUAAAAAGAUGAUGAAUUCCCUCUUCUAUUUUUAUUCUGAAGAAAAACUCAAUAUUUUCAUUCUUAAAAAACUCACUAUUUUCACUAACCAGGAAGGGCAAACAUGAACUAUGUCUUUGCUGCUUAGGUGUGCUAAUGUAGGGGAAAUGAAGGGCUUCAUUGAAGCAGGAUGC